CCUACGGGUGACAGCAGUGAGGAAUAUUGGUCAAGGGGCGGAAGCCUGAACCAGCCAAGUAGCGUGCAGGAUGACGGCCCUACGGGUUGUAAACUGCUUUUAUACGGGAAUAACGCGCCUUACGUGUAGGGCUUUGCAUGUACCGUAUGAAUAAGGACCGGCUAAUUCCGUGCCAGCAGCCGCGGUAAUACGGAAGGUCCGGGCGUUAUCCGGAUUUAUUGGGGUUAAAGGGAGCGUAGGCCGCAUGUCAAGCGUGCUGUGAAAUGUCCGGGCUCAACCCGGGCCUUGCAGCGCGAACUGGCGUGCUUGAGUCCGCGGCACGCAGGCGGCCUUCGUCGUGUAGCGGUGCACUGCUUAGAUAUGACGCAGAACCCCGAUUGCGAAGGCAGCUUGCUGCAGCGGACCUGACGCUGAUGCUCGACAUCGCGGGUCUCGAAC
rnacentral:rRNA from 1 species